rnacentral:lncRNA from 1 species
AAACAUUUCAUGACAAAAGUAAGACACUGGCCUUGCCUUACACCGCAUUAGGAGGAGUCAAUUUUUCAGUAUUACGUGGCCAGAUUUUGUUCACCUGAUUCUCUGGAGUAAUCUCAUGGCAAUGUGGAGGUUGAAAAGAAUAUUUAUAUUGUAGCUGGAGAUACCCAACCUGGUGCUGCUUGCCCUAAGGCCAGAACCGGAAGUAUUGGUCAGUAAUGCUGUUGAAAGAGCUGGAACAAGCUGCAGGCUCCAUACGGAGGAGGAUGGAUGCAGCGCUUUCACCCCGCAGCACCAGACUCCCAAAGAAACGUUGUCAGAAAGCAGAGCUGGACUAGCCCAACGCUGCUGCCGCUCUGCUCCGCUGCACUGCUGCAGCCUGCGGUUUGUCAAGGCCUGUUCCCCGGCUCCCCAGUGCGACGUUAACAUGGCGGUACCUCUAUUCCCCAAUUCGUUCCAGCCAACGGCACUACUGCUAGCUGUCCCUGCUCGAGCGUCGGAAAACACAGCUAGCCAAGGUGCCUCUGGUUCCUGCUUAAAAGUUGAAAAAACUUCCGCGAGAGACAGCUUCUGUGUAAUAUAACCUAAUAAUUGAAGCAGUAAUCAUCCCUGCUCUUUUGCUUUACCCAUCUUCCUCAGUUUCCUAGCAAGCAUUAUAAAUGUUGUGUCCUAUGAUUAUCCCAGCAGCUAAUAUCUAGAAAUGUAUUUCUAAUACCUUUGAUCCCUGGUGUUCUGGCUGUAGUCGUUGGUCUUUGUUGCCUGUGUUGGCUUUUUGCAGAUAGCUCUGUGUGUUAAACCCACCCCAGCGCAGAGUAUAGCAUUACUUGUGCCUACACGCUCCCUUCUCUCAAACCACAAUUAGAUCAUCUCAAAAUAUCUUUACUGCUCAGGGACUCUAGAUUUCACGUGAGGGUUCAUAGAUUAAUUUAGCUCAACUAGUUUACCUUGAGAUUCAAACAAGCUACUAAUUUAACAGCCCUGAAUCUUUCUGGCUGUCCCUGUGCUGGAGUCCUAUGCUUCCUGUAGGAUCUAUGGGAAUAAAGAAGAUAUAAAAAGAAAAAGAAGCCUGAAA